UUUGCGACUAAAUUUGGACCAA
rnacentral:miRNA from 1 species